rnacentral:rRNA from 1 species
GAAUCUUCGGCAAUGGGCGAAAGCCUGACCGAGCAACGCCGCGUGAAUGAUGAACGCCUUCGGGUCGUAAAAUUCUGUUAUAAGGGAAGAACGACCUUAGUAGGAAAUGGCUAGAGUGUGACGGUACCUUAUGAGAAAGCCACGGCUAACUACGUGCCAGCAGCCGCGGUAAUACGUAGGUGGCGAGCGUUAUCCGGAAUUAUUGGGCGUAGAGAGCGCGCAGGUGGUUGAUUAAGUCUGAUGUGAAAGCCCACGGCUUAACCGUGGAGGGUCAUUGGAAACUGGUCAACUUGAGUGCAGAAGAGGGAAGUGGAAUUCCAUGUGUAGCGGUGAAAUGCGUAGAGAUAUGGAGGAACACCAGUGGCGAAGGCGGCUUCCUGGUCUGUAACUGACACUGAGGCGCGAAAGCGUGGGGAGCAAACAG